AGAUAGUGACUAGUGUCACAAUCCCAGCAGAGGUGGUGGGUGUAACUACGGAGGUGGUGGCUGGUGCCACAGUCCCAGCAACAGUGGCAGAUGUAGCUGUGGAGGUGGCUAGUGUCACAGUCGCAGCAGUGGUGGCACAUAUCGUUCUUGGAUGUGACAUUAGAAAUAAGAAGUGAAACCUGUUGAGUAAUGUCGGUCUUCUAGUGAAAGCCACUAGUGGGGCCACACAUGAAGAGACUGGAAACAAAGAACACUAACGAGCUAUUGGACCCAGGGCAGAGAAAAGAUCAGCGCUGACUUUAAGGAUUUUACCUGAAAUAAGGACUAGGGUGAGGAAUUAUGAUCUGUAACAAUCUCUUGCAGUGUACAAGUCUCAGCUGGUGUGUUCUGGAACUUACCAGUCUGUUAUCACUGGCAAACACUUAA